UACGUGGGGUGCGAGCGUUGUUCGGAAUUACUGGGCGUAAAGCGUGUGAAGGCGGUCUGCUAAGACAGGUGUGAAAGCCCCGAGCUUAACUUGGGAAUUGCGCUUGUGACUGGCGUGCUGGAGUGUGGCAGAGGGAGGUGGAAUUCCACGUGUAGCAGUGAAAUGCGUAGAGAUGUGGAGGAACACCGAUGGCGAAGGCAGCCUCCUGGGCCAGCACUGACGCUCAUGCACGAAAGCGUGGGGAGCAAACAGG
rnacentral:rRNA from 1 species